AAAAAAAAAUUGAAAAAAAAAACGGAAAAAUAUUUGUCUUCAGGUUCAUUGACUUUCCA
rnacentral:sRNA from 1 species